rnacentral:misc_RNA from 1 species
GAUGAAGAAUGUAGUGAAAUGCGAUAAGUAGUGUGAAUUGCAGAAUUUAGUGAAUCAUCGAAUCUUUGAACGCACAUUGCGCCCUAUAGUAUUCUGUAGGGCAUGCCUGUUCGAGCGUUAUUGAGACCUCAAGCUCUGCUUGGAAAUGGGCGCUUGUCUUGCCUUGCAGACUCGCCUUAAAACCAUUGGCAGCUGAUUUACAAUGUUUGGUGCACAGUACAUGAGCCCAAGUGUUGCAAUGAGUGGCCCAAAAGUAUACAAUAGAAGCUUAACCUCGGAUCAGGUAGGGAUACCCGCUGAACUUAAGCAUAUCAAUAAGCGGAGGA